UGAAGGAACUGCACUGGCUCCAAUGCCAGAAAAUUAAUUUAAGAUGAGGGUCAAGCUUUAAACAGAAUCCGAUUUGAGUUUAUGGUGUUUUAAGGAACAGGAGACAAAAAAGGAAUUUGUUCGGAAGAAAUGAGUCUGCUUACCCUAAUUGUGAGAAUGGCAAUCCAUCAGAGAUUAGGAGCAGGUCGUCGCUGACACAAUUACAAAUCAAUGGCUGGCAUGUUUCACAGAAUGACACACAGCACUAAAAUAAAGAUCAGUCUGUGACCAAGUAAUGACCACAGACCUUAUAUACAUAUGAAAAUUGGGCUCUGCCGCUUCUUCCGUUCAGCUAAGGCUCUGGUCAUAUGAAACUGCCUUCUGCUAGUUGUGCACUGAAAAUUAACAACUUGAAAAGUAAAAUCCUUUUCAGAUGCUACACAAGCAUUGUGAGCACCACUGAGAAAGCAAACCACAUGGGUUCCUUUCUGCAUGAGAAACAAUUUUGUGUGAAGCAAGUGGCUCUCAUAUGAGGGAGCUGAUCUUACCUGUGGUGAAUUUUUUUGUAACAUAUGAAGGGCUCUUCUGAAGCAGACCAACAUUCCAUCUAGUCCAGCAAUCUGUUUCCCACAGUGGCUUACCAGAUGUCUCUGAGAAACCCCAAAGCAGG